rnacentral:rRNA from 1 species
UACGGAGGAUUCGAGCGUUAUCCGGAUUUAUUGGGUUUAAAGGGAGCGUAGGCGGGUUGUUAAGUCAGUUGUGAAAGUUUGCGGCUCAACCGUAAAAUUGCAGUUGAUACUGGCAUCCUUGAGUACAGUAGAGGUAGGCGGAAUUCGUGGUGUAGCGGUGAAAUGCAUAGAUAUCACGCAGAACUCCGAUUGCGAAGGCAGCCUGCCGCAGCGUUACUGACGCUGAAGCUCGAAAGCGCGGGUAUCGAACAGG